GGGAAAAUUGCCAAAAGAACCGCUCCUGACGCACCAAGCGGUGGGGUCGCAGGAUCCGCGGCCUUUUACUUCUCUCCCGCAGACCCACUCCGGGGUGCAGGGAUGCAGCUCAGUACCCCCGUCAGCCCAAGUUUCUCUGCCACUUCUCGGGCCCCUCUUGGAGUUCCAAAUGUGCAAAGCUUAGGGAUGGGAGGGUGCCUGGCCUGCCUGACAGUGUUGGAGGAACUGAAAAAUUGGCGUGGCUGCAGCACAGAG
rnacentral:lncRNA from 1 species